rnacentral:rRNA from 1 species
GCNCUGCUUCGGAUUCGAUUAAGCCUGCGAGUCGAGAGGUGCAAGACCUCGGCAUACUGCUCAGUAACACGUAGCUAACCUACCCUCAGGACGUGGAUAACCCCGGGAAACUGGGGCUAAUCCGCGAUAGGUAUGAAGGCCUGGAAUGGUUUCAUGCCCAAUGGCACAGCAAUCAUGUUUGUUGUGUGCCUGAGGAUGGGGCUGCGGCUGAUCAGGCAGUUGGCGAGGUAACGGCUCACCAAACCUUUGACCAGUACGGGCCAUGAAAGUGGUAGCCCGGAGAUGGGCACUGAGACAGGGGCCCAGGCCCUACGGGGCGCAGCAGGCGCGAAAACUCCACACUGUACGAAAGUACGAUGGGGUUAUCUCGAGUGCAGUCCGAUAAGGGCUGCUUUUCCAUAGAGUAAUAUCCUGUGGGAAUAAGAGGGGGGCAAGACUGGUGUCAGCCGCCGCGGUAACACCAGCCCCUCGAGUGGUGGGGACUAUUAUUUGGCCUAAAGCGUCCGUAGCUGGCUGUGUCAGUCUCCCGUUAAAUCCAGCGUCCUAAGCGUUGGACCGCGGGUGAUACCAUACAGCUAGAGGGUGGGAUAGGUGAGCGGUAUUUCUGGGGUAGGGGCGAAAUCCUUUGAUCCCAGGAGGACCACCAGUGGCGAAGGCUGCUUACUAGAACACGCCUGACGGUCAGGGACGAAAGCUGGGGCAGCGAACCGGAUUAGAUACCCGGGUAGUCCCAGCUGUAAACGAUGCUAGCUAGGUGUUGGGUCGGCCACGCGCCGCCCCAGUGCCGCAGGGAAGCCGUUAAGCUAGCCGCCUGGGGAGUACGGCCGCAAGGCUGAAACUUAAAGGAAUUGGCGGGGGAGCACCACCAGGCGUGAAGCUGC